CAGCAGCCGCGGGAAUACGUAGGGUGCGAGCGUUAAUCGGAAUUACUGGGCGUAAAGCGUGCGCAGGCGGUCGUGUAAGACAGGUGUGAAAUCCCCGGGCUUAACCUGGGAACUGCGCUUGUGACUGCACAGCUAGAGUAUGGCAGAGGGGGGUGGAAUUCCACGUGUAGCAGUGAAAUGCGUAGAGAUGUGGAGGAACACCGAUGGCGAAGGCAGCCCCCUGGGCCAAUACUGACGCUCAUGCACGAAAGCGUGGGGAGCAAACAGGAUUAGAUACCCGCGUAGUCCCUGUCUCUUAUAC
rnacentral:rRNA from 1 species